UACGGAGGGUGCGAGCGUUAAUCGGAAUUACUGGGCGUAAAGCGCGCGUAGGUGGUUUAGUAAGUCGGAUGUGAAAGCCCCGAGCUUAACUUGGGAACUGCAUUCGAUACUGCUUUACUUGAGUGUGGUAGAGGGUAGUGGAAUUCCUGGUGUAGCGGUGAAAUGCGUAGAUAUCAGGAGGAACAUCAGUGGCGAAGGCGGCUACCUGGACCAACACUGACACUGAGGUGCGAAAGCGUGGGUAGCAAAC
rnacentral:rRNA from 1 species